GACGAACGCUGGCGGCGUGCUUAACACAUGCAAGUCGAACGGAAAGGCCCUGCUUUUGUGGGGUGCUCGAGUGGCGAACGGGUGAGUAACACGUGAGUAACCUGCUCUUGACUUUGGGAUAACUUCAGGAAACUGGGGCUAAUACCGGAUAGGAGCUCCUGCUGCAUGGUGGGGGUUGGAAAGUUUCGGCGGUUGGGGAUGGACUCGCGGCUUAUCAGCUUGUUGGUGGGGUAGUGGCUUACCAAGGCUUUGACGGGUAGCCGGCCUGAGAGGGUGACCGGCCACAUUGGGACUGCGAUACGGCCCAGACUCCUACGGGAGGCAGCAGUGGGGAAUAUUGCACAAUGGGCGGAAGCCUGAUGCAGCAACGCCGCGUGCGGGAUGACGGCCUUCGGGUUGUAAACCGCUUUCGCCUGUGACGAAGCGUGAGUGACGGUAAUGGGUAAAGAAGCACCGGCUAACUACGUG
rnacentral:rRNA from 1 species